rnacentral:lncRNA from 10 species
UUUGAUUGCAUUCCAUUCCAUUCCAUUCCAUUCCAUUCCAUUCCGUUCCAUUCCAGUCCAGUCCUGUGAAUUCCAUUCCAUGUUUUCCACUCCAUUCCAUUCCAUUCCCUUCCCUUCCAUUCCAUUCCAUUCCAUUCCAUUGCAUUCCUUUUCACUAAACUCCACUCUGUUCCAUCACAUUCCUUCCCAUUCCAAUCCACUCCAUUCCACUCGACUCCAUUAAUUUCAGUUCCACCCCAUUCCAUUCCACUCCAUUCCACUCCACUCCAUUCUGCUUCACCGCAUUCCGUUCGAUUCCAUUAGAUGCCAUUCAAUUACAUUCCUUUCGAUUCCUUUCCAUUCCAUUUCAUUCCAUUCCAUUCAAUUCCAUUCCACUUCACUCCAUUCCAUUCCACUUCACUCCAUUAAACUCCAUUCCACUCCACUACACUCCAUUCCAUAGCAUUCCAUUCCCUUCCAUUCCUUUCGGUUCCAUUCCAUUCCACUCCACUUCAUUCCAUUCCAUUCCAUUCCAUUGCAG